AGUGGUUGUGGAUCAAGAAAAUGUGAAGUCUCAUGUACUUCUUCACUCUGCCAACAUGUGAUCUAACCUUCUGAAAUCAUAAGUCAAGGUGAAAAUCCAUGUCAGGUUUUUCAUUUUAUUUUUACUCUGAAAUCGAGAGGAUAAUUCAGGUGCAUCAUUCAAAUGUACAUCACAACCUUGGUGCAAAGGAAUAUGUUUUACUGGAGAUGUCUAAGGGACUCAUCUCUUGAAGAAAUGGACAUCAAGUCUCUUAUCCUCAGAAGAAUAAUAAAUGGAGUAUAAUAAGA